UGACGCACAACCUCGCAAACACGUUGAAUUGUAUACUUUAAAACGGUGAACUUCACGGGAAGAGGACUCCCCUGUGAAGCUUAAACUCCUGGCUCACUCUGAAGGCUGUUCGUCCUCCUGCAGGAUUCCAGCCCCAGGUCUCCAGCUAGGCUGAGGUGGUUUGUAUGUGGGCCUGGGCAUCUAAGCUCAUCUUCUGACCCUUUUGGUCUUUGGAAAUUCUUGGCACGGGGACGAGGGAAACCAGGGAGAAGCAGAGCUUAGUGCUGACACCAGUAGUUGUACCCGCGGGCUAGAAGGUCACAUGGCAAUACCAUGAGAGGACCCCAGCCUUGGUGUGACAAGCUCACCAUCGCAGAUCCCCGGCCUGGGAAGUCAAAUGAGAAAAGACAACAGGACUACAGGCUGCAGAGAGUGAAGAACAAUACACUGGCAUUGAAAAUCUACCACUAAGUUAAAAACAUCUUCCUCAAUAGAUCCAUAUGUUCUGAUAUGAAAAGUUAUUAAAGAUGUAUUACAAGUGGGAGAUGCAAAGUUAGAGACAGAUGUACAGUGUGUUGCCUGCUGUGUAAAUGAAAUAUACAAAUGGAAAUAUUAACACAAGCUCUCUCUCUGUGAAAAAAUAUAUGAAAUCAGAAAAACAGUUCUCCCUUUAGGGAGACAGCUUUAAGUAUAGUGAAACUGCGAAGCAAAUCACUCA